rnacentral:rRNA from 1 species
CAGGCCUAACACAUGCAAGUCGAACGGCAGCACGGAGCUUGCUCUGGUGGCGAGUGGCGAACGGGUGAGUAAUAUAUCGGAACGUACCCUAGAGUGGGGGAUAACGUAGUGAAAGUUACGCUAAUACCGCAUACGAUCUAAGGAUGAAAGUGGGGGAUCGCAAGACCUCAUGCUCGUGGAGCGGCCGAUAUCUGAUUAGCUAGUUGGUAGGGUAAAAGCCUACCAAGGCAUCGAUCAGUAGCUGGUCUGAGAGGACGACCAGCCACACUGGAACUGAGACACGGUCCAGACUCUACGGGAGGCAGCAGUGGGGAAUUUUGGACAAUGGGCGAAAGCCUGAUCCAGCAAUGCCGCGUGAGUGAAGAAGGCUUCGGGUUGUAAACUGCUUUUGUACGGAACGAAAAGGUCUGCCCUAAUACGGCGGGCUCAUGACGGUACCGUAAGAAUAAGCACCGGCUAAUACGUGCCAGCAGCCGCGGU